GAUGAACGCUGGCGGCGUGCCUAAUACAUGCAAGUCGAGCGAACGGACGAGAAGCUUGCUUCUCUGAUGUUAGCGGCGGACGGGUGAGUAACACGUGGAUAACCUACCUAUAAGACUGGGAUAACUUCGGGAAACCGGAGCUAAUACCGGAUAAUAUUUUGAACCGCAUGGUUCAAAAGUGAAAGACGGUUUUGCUGUCACUUAUAGAUGUAUCCGCGCUGCAUUAGCUAGUUGGUAAGGUAACGGCUUACCAAGGCAACGAUGCAUAGCCGACCUGAGAGGGUGAUCGGCCACACUGGAACUGAGACACGGUCCAGACUCCUACGGGAGGCAGCAGUAGGGAAUCUUCCGCAAUGGGCGAAAGCCUGACGGAGCAACGCCGCGUGAGUGAUGAAGGUCUUCGGAUCGUAAAACUCUGUUAUUAGGGAAGAACAUAUGUGUAAGUAACUGUGCACGUCUUGACGGUACCUAAUCAGAAAGCAACGGCUAACUACGUG
rnacentral:rRNA from 1 species